GGGAGCUUGAGCUGAGAUGGACUGGUCUUCAUGGGCGCCCAAGGCGCUGGGUGCAGCUUUCCCCGAGACCCCCAGAUGGAAAGGAGGGAAGGAGGAACCCCACACACUCGCCUUUUGCGAGAAGAUCGGCGCGCACCCCAGAGUGCCCCAAGCCUUUGGAAUCUGCCUGCUGAGCGGAGCGCGCGAGCGUGGUGGACAGGUCCCGAACUUGGCCAGCGGGCUUUCUUGGCAACUUGCUUUGCGCAGUUCUCCAUGGAACCCUGGACCCACUGUGCUCCCGGCGCCUUGCCUUUUUUUUUCUUUUUCUUUCUCUCACUGUCUCUUUUUAAAUUUAUGAACUCGAAAUGAAGCGGAAAGCAGAUAUGCGCGUCAGCAUACUUUGGCGGUUCUUCAUGUGGGGGAUGGUCAGCGGGAGAUGGCACUUCAUAAGAUCUGCGGUGGUCACCCCAGUCAUCAUCCGACGUGUUGCACCAGUCUGUGGCACUUCAUAAGGUCUGCAGUGGUCACCCCAGUCAUCAUCCGAUGUGUUGCACCAGUUUGUGGCACUUCAUAAGUUCUGCGGUGGUCACCCCAGUCAUCAUCCGACGUGUUGCACCAGUGUGUGUUGCUGUUUGAGCCGUGCUGCCGACCCCUUCCAGGGCAUCUGCCAUGGGCACCUCCUCCAGCCCGUGCACUAAGACUCAAGAGAGUCGAAGAACCAGGGAAUCGUUGUAAUAACAAGCAUUCUGAAUUGCAUCGUACUGUGUACUAGACCUUUUAAAAAUGGAACUGUCGGCUGCGGCUGGAAGGCGCAGGCAGGCGCCCUGGAGAGAAUUCACAGGGAGGCACAGGACAGAACGCUCCCAGGAACGAGGAAGCACCCCCAGAAAGGAGCGCUCUAUGGGCUCCAGGCAGCCGAGGAAACGCGAACGUGAGCCCCGUGACUGCAC
rnacentral:lncRNA from 1 species